rnacentral:rRNA from 1 species
UACGUAGGUGACCAGCGUUGUCCGGAUUUACUGGGCGUAAAGAGCGCGCAGGCGGUCGUUCAAGUCGAGUGCGAAAGCCCCCGGCUCAACUGGGGAGGGUCACUCGAUACUGAUCGACUGGAAGGCAGGAGAGGGAAGCGGAAUUCCCGGUGUAGUGGUGAAAUGCGUAGAUAUCGGGAGGAACACCAGUGGCGAAGGCGGCUUCCUGGCCUGUUCUUGACGCUGAGGCGCGAAAGCUAGGGGAGCAAACGGG